CCGGCUCGCCGACUCCGGGGGGCAUGUCGCAACUGCGUGGCGCUGGGGUCUUGCCCGAGGAGAGAUGGGGUUCGUUCUGAGGAAAACUGUGACUUGAGGUCAGCUGCCCAAUGUCUGAAUAGUUCCAGUCAUUAGGUACCAGGCCUCGUCUCACAGAAAUGAGGCCGGCACAGCCUUUCUGUACUGUAAAGAGAUCGGUGGAAGGAGCCGUGAGUGCAUGAAGAGCGUGAUAUUCAAGAGCCUGAAAAAAAGGAGUAGGGGUCUCCCAGAAGAAGAAAACAGUCUUGGUGUAUAUAUUUGGUGUUUUUCCUUCUGCAAGUAUAGAGGCUCUUUUGAGGGAAAAAAGUUCAACUUGCUGGGCUGACAUGGCAUUAGAACCCAGCACCAUGCUACAGAGAAGCCUGUGAGUAGCUCUUCUGGCCAACAGUCCCAGCUGAGGUCCCAGCCAAAGCCAGCAUCAACCCUCAGACAUGGGGUGAGGAAGCCAUCCCCAACCAUUGUCUAACUGCAACCACAUGAAACCCCAGGUGCUGUUACUUGGGCCCCCCAGAACCCAGACUUGUGGCAACACAACUACUUCCACAUACCUCUUGAAAGGAUGGGUCAGAUGGCUCUAGAAAGAUUUGGAAGAGAAAUGCAAACCUUUUCCCAAGAAGAUUCUUCCAGCGUUAAACUGGGGAACUUGAAUCUGCAACCAAGUCCAAGGAUCAACUGCUGGACCAGCAAGGGAGAGAAAGGUGGGGAUCAGAAGUGGGAGAUGUCCAGGAAUGGACCAAGAGGCGAGGAGCCAGACAGGCAUGUGAGCUGAGGUGCCAAG